CGAUUUGCCGAAUUGAAGUCUGCUGGAAGAGAUUGGAAUUGUCCUUUAAAUAGUGAGAGAUGUGCACCCUAAUCUGGAGUUGCUGUCCACAUGCGCAUGAUUUGGUGAAGCGCGGUCCAUGAGUACAAGGUGGACGUGCGGGCUUGAUCCACUGGAGGGAAUGGCGAAGUGGGCGUUGAAGCGGGAAUGGGCGUGAAUGGAUGGGGUCCACUGUCCAUGUGAAGAAGCGCGGUCCACGAGCUUGGCUUGAGUGGGCGGUCCCAUGUGAGAAGCUCGGCCCACGUGAAGUGUGCGUUGAUGGAGUGCUUUGGUCCCGUGCACGGGUGCUUGAUUCACCUGUG
rnacentral:lncRNA from 1 species